UCACCCUGUUCAUCCGCUUCAGUGAGCUGGUUAACGGAGCCUUUCAGGGCGACCCUCGCUUCCUCACAGCCCGAGACAAGGCUUACAAAGCAGUUGUGAAUGACGCUACUAUUUUUAAAUUGGAUCUUCCGCUGAAGCAGAAAGGGGUGGGGCUGAAGACUCAGCCAGAGUCCAAG